CGCCCGCGUCCUCUUCCUCGUGGCACCAUGGAGAACCGCCGGAGCCCGGGAUCCGUGCAGCCUGGAGCUCAGGGUCCAGGCCCGCCGUGGAGGCGGCGUCAACGCGGGACAGCUGGAGAAGAGCGCGACAUUCCGGCAUGAGGUUGGACUCGACCGUGGAGGAUCGACAGGAUUAGAGCCAGAGUGCCUUUGGCACCCUUCAUGAGUCCAACUUCAAUGUGUGCCUUGCCAUCCCCCAGGUUUUGAGAACUGGAGCAUUCCAGUUGGUGCCAGCUCAGCCUAGGAGGAGGCUACCUUUCCCCAGAGGAUGCAAAGAACCAGCAGCUUUGGUAUCUGGCCGUUCUUUGACAGCCAAGAGAUGGCUUAACGACUUACUACACAGGCACACUCGGGUAUUCAUCAAUCUGCCUUCCAGAAGCUUUUUUUUAUACCUUUUUAAUAAUGAACUGUUCACAAAAUUGUUUGGCAAUGUACUUGGAGUAAUGGGCUUUUUAAGCCAAGAAGCUGUUCUAAAAAUUAACUUUGUGCAGUUAACUAGAACUAUAAUAAAAGCAUGGUCUUUGGUA